UACGUAGGCAGCGAGCGUUGUUCGGAGUUACUGGGCGUAAAGGGUGUGUAGGCGGUUGUUUAAGUUUGGUGUGAAAUCUCCCGGCUCAACUGGGAGGGUGCGCCGAAUACUGAAUGACUUGGAGUGCGGGAGAGGAGAGUGGAAUUCCUGGUGUAGCGGUGAAAUGCGUAGAUAUCAGGAGGAACACCGGUGGUGUAGACGGCUCGCUGGGACGGUACUGACGCUGAGGCGCGAAAGCGUGGGGAGCGAACAGG
rnacentral:rRNA from 1 species